CCUACGGGGGGCAGCAGUGGGGAAUAUUGGACAAUGGGCGAAAGCCUGAUCCAGCCAUGCCGCGUGUGUGAAGAAGGCCUUCGGGUUGUAAAGCACUUUCAGUGGGGAAGAAAGCCUUGGGGCUAAUACCCUCGAGGAAGGACAUCACCCACAGAAGAAGCACCGGCUAACUCCGUGCCAGCAGCCGCGGUAAUACGGAGGGUGCGAGCGUUAAUCGGAAUUACUGGGCGUAAAGCGCGCGUAGGCGGUCUGAUAAGCCGGUUGUGAAAGCCCCGGGCUCAACCUGGGAACGGCAUCCGGAACUGUCAGGCUAGAGUGCAGGAGAGGAAGGUAGAAUUCUCGGUGUAGCGGUGAAAUGCGUAGAGAGCGGGAGGAAUACCAGUGGCGAAGGCGGCCUUCUGGACUGACACUGACGCUGAGGUGCGAAAGCGUGGGUAGCAAACAGGAUUAGAUACCCCGGUAGUC
rnacentral:rRNA from 1 species